GCCGGGUGCAGUGGCAUGUGCCUGUAAUCCAAGUCACUGGGAGGCUGAGGUUGGUGGAUCAAGUGAGCUGAGGAGCUCUGGGCUGCAGCACGCUAUGUCGAACGGGUGUCCAUGCUAAGUUCUGUAUCGAUAUGGUGUUCCUGGGGGAGCCUGGGACCACCAGGUUGUCUAAGGAGGGGUGAACCGGCCCAGGUCGGAAACGAAGCAGGUCAAAUCGCCCCUCUGUCCCGAGCAGCUAUCGCCCCUCUGUCCCGAGCUGCUAUCGCCCCUCUGUCCCGAGCUGCUAUCGCCCCUCUG
ensembl:misc_RNA Metazoa_SRP Metazoan signal recognition particle RNA